GGGGUUGUGGCUCAGAGGUAGAGCGCUCGCCUAGCAUGUGUGAGGCCCUGGGUUCCAUCCUCAGCACCACA
rnacentral:tRNA from 1 species